CCUACGGGUGGCAGCAGUGAGGAAUAUUGGUCAAUGGGCGGGAGCCUGAACCAGCCAAGCCGCGUGAGGGAAGAAGGUACAGCGUAUCGUAAACCUCUUUUGUCAGGGAACAAAGGCGGGGACUAGUCCCCGGAUGAGGGUACCUGAAGAAAAAGCAUCGGCUAACUCCGGGCCAGCAGCCGCGGUAAUACGGAGGAUGCGAGCGUUAUCCGGAUUGAUUGGGUUAAAAGGUUGCGCAGGCGGCCUGUUAAGUCAGCGGUAAAAGCCCGGGGCCCAACCGCGGCGAGCCGAUGAAACUGGGGGGCUGGAGUUGGAGAGGAGGACGCGGAAUGCGCGGUGUAGCGGUGAAAUGCUUAGAUAUCGCGCAGAACCCCGGUUGCGAAGGCAGCGUACCGGCUCCACACUGACGCUGAGGCACGAAAGCGUGGGUAUCGAACAGGAUUAGAUACCCUUGUAGUC
rnacentral:rRNA from 1 species